AUCCAAGAUGGCGGCGACCAGUAGUAAAUUGACAGAUGGCAGUUUUAUAUACUUAAUUUGGUUAUAAGACUGCUUUUAAAAGGAUUUCCCAGCACAGCUACCUCAACCCACAAGUUGACCAGUCAGAGGAAGCCUUCUCCUGGUUGCGACCUGACCUUGACCUUCUCCGAGAUUAAGAGAGAAAUUUGGCUGGAGGAAAGAAAAAGGUGGACGAGAAUCUCCUUCCUGUGAUGAAGAAGAUGAACGAGAAACAGAGACCAUCAACUUCAAGAUAAACAUAUGAAGCACACUGAUGCUGCUCCUGCAGAUAGAGAUGAUACUCAUCAGCCUAUUCCUAUUCAGGACCAUGACUAUGUGACAGACCCUCUUCCGCUGUCGGAUGCAGAGAAGCUGGAGCUCUCAACACAGUACAUUGCAACACUUAAAGCUAGGCUGCAGGCAAAAAUUAAUCAAAGGUGGAGUCAUCCGAGAAGAAAUUGCCCAUCGAUGACAAAAUCAAUUUUACGACGUAGCACAUGUACACGUACCAGGAAAGUUUACGAAUAGUUGGAGGCCAAUUUCAGGAUGGUUGUACCACAAAGAUAUAAUCUACCAUUGACACGAUAUAUAUGUUUUAGUUAAGCGCAUGGAAAUAAAAUAGAUCGUUUUUUUUAGGAAAUAAAUGUCUCAUACAAAUAUUCAUAAACAUCACAAAUCCGGAUAAUGUUUUUUUUUGUGUAUCGAGAAUCGCUUAAUAUUUAAAUACAAUGUAUCCCUCAAUACUUUUGUUUCAUAUGAAACCAGUAUAUUAGUUAACAAUAAUAUCACAUCGUACACUGUGUAUGUCAGUAGACCGCAUUUGUUUUAGGAAAAUAAAUGUAUCCGUUUUACAGAGUUGUUUCAUAAUUUUGUAUAUUCGACCAUCACACAUCCAGAUAAUGGAUUUUUAUGUGUAUCGAGAAAUGCUUAACAUUUAAAUAAAAUGUAUCUUUUGUUUCAUAUUGAAAUGAAGCUAGUAAAUGAGAUAAUAAUAAUAUCACAUAGUACAUAUGUUAGUAGGCCGCAUUGCUCAACUGAUGCAACAUGUGGUUUUGAGAUAGGAAACUGCCGUGUGUUAUCCGUGUUUCCCUGUUAAUAGAUUGGUAAUUUUACCAAUGUCAAACGAGUGCUAAUAAACUGUUAUUUGAAAGUAGACAAAAGCUAGUCACACUUAGCGACUUGAUCUGUUGUGGAGUAAUGCUAUUAGAUAUAUUGUGCAGUGGUAUCCGUCAUUAAGUGAUGUUGAAGUAAACGGUCAACGUACUGAUUUUGUAUCUAAGAAAUAAAUAAACAGUAAUGUUUAACUGUUCUUUCUGUAUUUUUUAAAUGCUGUUUUAACUUUAUUAACUUAAAAACAAUAUUGACACGUGUUAAGGAAUAAAACCAGAGACCCAUGGGCCUUAACGCUCACCUGAUAUAUUUAUA
rnacentral:lncRNA from 1 species